rnacentral:rRNA from 1 species
AUUGAACGCUGGCGGCAGGCCUAACACAUGCAAGUCGAGCGGAGCGGCGGACGGGUGAGUAAUGCCUAGGAAUCUGCCUGGUAGUGGGGGAUAACGUCCGGAAACGGGCGCUAAUACCGCAUCCUAUCAGCUGAGCCUAGGUCGGAUUAGCUAGUUGGUGGGGUAAAGGCCUACCAAGGCGACGAUCCGUAACGGGUCUGAGAGGAUGAUCAGUCACAUGGGAAUGGAGAAAGGGUCCGGACGCCAAGGGGAGGCAGCAGUGGGGAAUAUUGGACAAGGGCGGAAAGCCUGAUCCAGCCAGGCCGCGUGUGGGAAGAAGGUCUUCGGAUUGUAAAGCACUUUAAGUUGGGAGGCGUUACCAACAGAAUAAGCACCGGCUAACUUCGUGCCAGCAGCCGCGGUAAUAC